AGGACAUAGCGUUUAGGACUGAAAGCAGAGAGUACUGGAUUCAGAGGAAAUGCCUUAAUUGGGAGAUUUGUGUCCUUGUUGUCAGGUCUCACUGGGGAGGCAAGAAGAAGAAAGAUAUGGAUUCCUGACAUUUGUUGAGAGGAUGGUUGGCUUUCUCCUCUUAGAUUUUAGAGAGCCGAAGGAAAGCUUUACCUUCAACUUCUGAAGAUGUGUUAAAAGUCACUGACAAGAGUCAAAUUAAUAACAGAAAAGGCAUACAAAUUUAAUUGAUCAUAGUUUUACAUAACACAGGAGCCUUCAGAAUGAAGAUCCAAAGAUACAGAGGAAUUGUACAUUUUAAUGCUUAGGGUCGACAAAAUAUGGACAGCCAUGUACAAAUACGAUUGGGCAAAAAGAGAAUGAUCUACUGCCAAUAGAGUUGGGAAACCCAGCAAGGCCUGUCUGUCUAGACUCCUCUUGGCCUCACUGCGCAGCAUUCGUUCCUCCUUGGUGUGUGGCAGGACCCUCUAUGGAAAGAGGGUGUUAUGACCUACAAUUAAAAAAGACUUGGAGCUAAAGCAGCUGUCAACCUGGAAGUACCAAUGGACACUGACAAAACAAUAAACAAAUCUCCAACAAAAGCCUGUUCUCUCUAGCCAAAAAUCCAAGACAGUCUUGAGAAGACUAGUAAGACAGAAAACUUUUAGACAAUAACAGCUCUACUCCAGCCAGCCACAACAACAAUAACAAAAAAACUGUGGCUCUACCCCACCCAUGGCAAAAGCCAAGUGGGGAAGCCAAGCUUUCCACUCAUGCCUGACUGUGACAAGGCACUCACCCUUCCUUCCAGGGUAACGUCUGGGAAAGCUGAGUAAGGAAUUGGUAGUUUCAUUCUCACUGGGUGGUAAGGAGUCCACCUUACUGUUAGCAGAGUCCACAUGACUUUAGUAGUGUUGGUAGUUGUGGUGGUAUUAUUAGUAGAGGCCAUUUAGGGAGCCAUGACAAGGCACUCAUAUCCAUCGCAGUCAGUGAGUUACCAGCAGACACCUCGUGUGGAGUUGGAAGUCCCAACCCUAGCAGUUGGAGACAGACUCCCUGCUACAACUUGAGAGUCAACAGAGGCCAAAUAAGGAACCUGGAGACCUGGGCAUUUAUCCCACAGAAACGGAACUUAUACCCACCCAAAAGGUUACCCAAAAAUAUGUGUAGUAGUUUUAAUUAUAGUAGUCAGUAACUGGAAACAAUCCAGAUGUCCUUCAAAAAGUGAAUGGUUAAGCAAACUGUGGUACUUCCAUUUCUUGGGAAAUUACUCAGUAAUUUAAAAAAAAUUGUUAAUGCAACAACCUAGAUGACUAUUCAGAGAUUUGUGCUGAGUGAAAAAAGCAAUCCCAAAAGGUUGUAUCUUGUAAUUCCAUUUAUGUAUUUUUCCUGAAAUGACAAAACUGCAGAAAUGUAGAACAAAUUAGUGGCUGCCAGGUGUUAAGGAGAAGGUGAAGAUAAGAGAAAAAUGUGUGCAGCUAUAAAAGUGCAACAUGAGGGAUCCUUGUGGUAGUGAAACUAUUCGGUAUCUUGCUUAUAUCAAUGUCAGCAUGUUACUUGUGAUUUUGUGGUGUUUGAUUUUUUUGGCGUUGUUAUAGUUUUUCCAUUGGUGGAUAUUGGGUGAAUAGCCCAUGAGAUAUAUCUGUAUUAUUUCUUCCAACUGCAUGUGAAUCUACAAUUAUCUAAAAAUUAAAAUUUUAAUUAAAAAUGGAGCUAAUUGGGUGUUUUUUCUAUUUUUCAAAAAGUAUCAUUAUAGGUAUUGAUUAGAAGUUAGAACCUGGAGGAGGACCAAAUAGGAGACCAAAAUUAAAUUAUCA
rnacentral:lncRNA from 1 species